rfam:Camelus ferus unplaced genomic scaffold scaffold2639, whole genome shotgun sequence.
CAAAAGGCUCUUUUCAGAGCCACCCACUGUAUCAAAAAAGGAGCUG